rnacentral:rRNA from 1 species
CCUACGGGUGGCAGCAGUGGGGAAUAUUGGACAAUGGGCGAAAGCCUGAUCCAGCCAUGCCGCGUGUGUGAAGAAGGCCUUCGGGUUGUAAAGCACUUUCAGUGGGGAAGAAAGCCUUGGGGCUAAUACCCUCGAGGAAGGACAUCACCCACAGAAGAAGCACCGGCUAACUCCGUGCCAGCAGCCGCGGUAAUACGGAGGGUGCGAGCGUUAAUCGGAAUUACUGGGCGUAAAGCGCGCGUAGGCGGUCUGAUAAGCCGGUUGUGAAAGCCCCGGGCUCAACCUGGGAACGGCAUCCGGAACUGUCAAGCUAGAGUGCAGGAGAGGAAGGUAGAAUUCCCGGUGUAGCGGUGAAAUGCGUAGAGAUCGGGAGGAAUACCAGUGGCGAAGGCGGCCUUCUGGACUGACACUGACGCUGAGGUGCGAAAGCGUGGGUAGCAAACAGGAUUAGAUACCCGAGUAGUC